GGUAUUUUGAAUGUAAUUUUUUUUAACCAAAACUCUACUAAACAUUUUGGUGCGGGCAGUUUACAAAAUAAGAGAGACAACGAACUUGAAUAUGUACUUCCUUAAGCAACUAUUGCUCUCUUUUGAAGAUUAUUUAAAUAAAAAAUAACUUUUUUUUUUACUUACUGUUGACUAAAACAAAAUUAAUACAUAAUAAUCUGUAUAAUAAACUACUGUUUCAACCUGGAUGGACAACACAUGCUGUGGUCCCAUUAGAGUACUGAAGGAACAGGAAAUGUACCAAUCCUUGUCUCACUUGAAGAAAGAAUUACAGCCAGUUUGUCUGUAAUUCGGGCUGCCCGGGCUGAAACCCCGACCCAUCUCUGUGGCCUUCGAAGCAGGAUACCGCGUGCUGGUCAGACGGUUUUGAAACCGAGUCUCCGCAGUGGGCGGGGCCCCGGGGGCGGAGCCUUCCCCUGCGGCGCUGCACCUUUGACACGCCCAUUCCCUUAUUUGGAAGGCUGACAGGCGUUGUCUAUUAGAGCAGUAACUGCAGCUGAAGAUGAAGCGAGCCGCAGGUGUGUCUUCAAUAAUAGAUAUGAGCCCGGGAGAGAUGACUGAAAGAGAGACGGGUCCCGGGCCAGGGUAAACAAGAGAGGAGGAGGAGGGGGGUUGAGCGUACAGCACCUACGGCUGAAGGGUUAGCCGUGAGUUGAAAGGCACGCCGGGGGUGAAAGCGGUGUCUUUGAACAAAGUGACUGUGGGCCGUGUCCAGGGACUAAGGAUGAAAAACCUGGACCUUUGAGUUCCUGCGGAGGACUGGCCGGCGGUCUCCGAGCCAGUGGACAACAGCAAGUGCAGGGCUCGGAGGGUCUCUUCUGUUGUGCAAAUUCAGCCCCAGCAUCCACCGGCGGAGACUGAAAAGGCGCAAUUAACGCUUUUAAAAAAAAAACUUUUCGCAAUGUGGUGGAGAUUGUAUGGGUUUUGUGAGCGUGCGUGCUCGUUGUGAGAUGUCUGUGGCGAAAGUGUGUUCACGGUGUUUUUUUACAAAUCAAAAUCAAGUGAGAGAGAAAGACGGAUCGGCCGCAAAAGGAGACGACGAGGCCGACAGCUGCUGUGCUGAGAGGAGCCCGUGGGGAGCAGGGCUCCGCCGGGGGCGAGAGGGCUGUGUGCCCCGGGCUGCGAGGCGGAGUGCGGAGGAAGCUCAGGCGACACUUCAAAACACAACCUGCUUUGUGUGGGUGCCGGUCCGCAGCUCAAUGCCCGGGUUGUUACUAUUACAGCAACCGUGAAGACGCGAUAGCCCGCAGCCCAGAGAAGGUCUAGGUGUGUUCGUUUAUUUUCUCUGAAGCUGGAAGCACUGCCCGCACAAGACUAAAUAAAGAGGGCAGUUCACCUCCCGGCUUGUGUCUGCGGUGUGUUUCUUUGGGGAAAGGAAAAGCGUCGAUGAUGGUAGCCAAGUUUCACUUGAUGUAUUGGCUCUGAAGAAGAGUUUGAAAGGCUUUUUUUUUUGAAGAUUCAGCUCAGUCUGCCAUCUUGGCUGACGCUUUUAUCCCAGGCGACUGACGUGUACUGUACACCCAUUUACACAUCUGGCCAUCUUCCUGCCACAAUUAGGUUGAAACACUUUGCUUAAGGGUAGAACAGCUCUGUCUCAGCUGCUUUUUGAAUAUCAAUUAGCAAAUGCCCAGGACGAUGCCUGUCCAUUUUAUAAAGUAGAUAAAUUGCAUGGUAUUUGGCCACAUGCAGUUUGAAUGUCCAGAAUCCUGUGGCACACAAAACCAUUCACAGUGAAUAGCCAGUUAAAUCUAAAGUGUUAGUUUGUUUCCACUGCAGUGAUUCAGCUUUGAUGCUGUUAUUUAUUUGUUCAGAUCAACAGUUGUUGCAAAAUUAGAAAUCCUAUUGUUCCAAAGAUAAACCCUGAAAAAAAGUGUUGGCUACUUUAGCCACAUCUAAACAGAGGCUGUUAUAUAUUUUUUUUUCCUGAAGAAAUGGCGGUCAGGAAGUCAUCUUGGUCUGUGCAAGAACACCACAAAAAAGCAUUACAAUUAAAAUAGACUUCCAGCCUCAGCAGACUGGUAAAACCAUAUUUUUAUCACCCUUCCAUCCAUUUUCUAACCACGUUUUCCAAUGCAGGCUCAUAGUGGUGACAGAGCCAGAGCCUAUCCCAGCAAGCAAUGGGCACAAGGCAAGAUUGACCUUGGACAGCAUGCCAGGCCCUCACAGAGCACCCACAGACACAAACACACUCACACUGAUUUUCCUUGGAGCCAGUUUAUCUACCAG